rnacentral:lncRNA from 1 species
UCAGAACCUUGUUAUUCUAGACUCUGGAGUUUGGGAGGCACGCUCUUCCUCCUCUUCCUCACUGACAGAUAAGAUGUGUGUGUGUUCUCCUGGAUAGAAUCUGCCUGGCUCGUGAUUCAAGUUAAGCAGACUACAAAGUUACUCUCCUACAAAGAGUUCAGCUCAGUGUUUGGCCAUGAAUAUUUGCUUCUGCUUCCAUCAGCUACUGGAUGAAGGCUCUGGGACAGCAUUUAAGAAGCCUAAGAAGACUAAGAGAACCAUUUGGAGUAUAAACAGAGAGUAACCUAUCAAGACUGAAGAAAGAAGAGAGAAUUUUUGGAUGGAGGCAUUUAGGAAAAAAGAGUCUAAUAGUCUGAUAUGCUUGUAGGUAGUGACCAAGCCGUCUAUAACAUUGCUCCUCAACUCCCUUUCCUUAGAUCAUAUACUUUAGAAAGCUUGCUGUUUUGUUUGCUGUAGGUUCUUUCUCUGUGCUCUUUGAAAAAGAAAUCUUUUAGAGUUUUACAACCCAGAAAUAUCUUCUCAAAAGGAGCUAUCUCUUUGAAAAUAUACUCAUCAAGAAAACUCUGGGGACGAUAAGGAGCCUAACUGUUCUAAGUACCAAUUAGCAAACACAGAUGGUCUAAUUGCACUGACCAAUUUUCCUCUAUCAUUCUUAUUAUCUUAGUUACAGUUUUUAUUGCUGUGAAGAGACAUCAUGACCACCGAAACUCUUACAAAGUAAAACAUCUAAUUGAGGGGGCUCCAUUACAGUUCCAGAGAUUCAGUGCAUUAUCAGUUUGGUGGGGAGCAUGGUGGCUCGCAGGCAGACAUGGUGCUGGAGCUGAGAGCACUGUAUCUUGCAGGCAACAGGAAGUUGACUGAUUGUUACACUGAGGGAAGCUUGAGAAAAGAGACCUCAAAGCCAACUCCACAGUUACACACUUCCUCCAAUAAGGCCACACCUCCUUAUAGUGCCACUCCCUUUGGGUCCAUUUUAUUUCAAACCACCACACUUGUCUGAAUGUAUCAGUUGAUUGAAUGACUCCAGGGCUUAAAAUCUCUACUGUUUUUGCAUUCGAGGAGGUGAUAACCCACUGUUAAAAGAAUUUGCUGAAUUUCCUUCCUUGCCUUUUUUACUUCUGUGCAACUUUUCUUUGACAGCUUGAAACAGCAUCAUGAGGAAUAAUCGCUCUAUUGGAAAGUUUGGGCAGAAUUAAUGACAAUGAAACAGAAA